GACGAACCGAGCGAACGUUGUUCGGAAUCACUGGGCUUAAAGGGCGCGUAGGCGGGUGCUCAAGUCCGGGGUGAAAUCCUCCAGCUCAACUGGAGAACUGCCUCGGAUACUGGGUGCCUCGAGUGUGGUAGGGGUGUGCGGAACUAUCGGUGGAGCGGUGAAAUGCGUUGAUAUCGAUAGGAACUCCGGUGGCGAAGGCGGCACACUGGACCACAACUGACGCUGAGGCGCGAAAGCGUGGGGAGCGAUCCGG
rnacentral:rRNA from 1 species